UUUGUUUUUUUUUUUUUUUAAUGGAAUCAUUGCUGGCCUACUAUGCUGGGCCAUGAGGAUGGCAGCCACUUCCCAGUGAUGGAGCAGCGAAAGUCUAGAAGAAUCCUGACUCCCAGAUAAAUGAGGAGACUCCAGAGAGUCGUCUUAAUUAUCCAUUUAUGGAGGAGCAAGUGGUCCCUCUCUUCUGACUCGGCAGCUACACUGACUGGCAGGAAACCACUCUCCACCCAGCUGUGACUUCAGUCUAUGAGCUAAAAUUGAAGUCAGGGCCAGACAAAGAAAAAAAUGAGAAAAAUAUCAAGCAACUCCUCUCCCUGCUUCAGAAAUGACCAACAGAACUCCACCUAACCACAGACCAGGUGUUUCCGGCUCACAUUCUUCUGCCUGACAGACCCCAGCAUGGGAGCUCUGUUCUCAACUUCUACAGUGUCUUUCUGGUCACAACCAGAAUCUAGUGACUGAAAUCAGAAGAAUUUCACCUACUCCUAAGUGUGGGCAAGACCAGAAAAAAUGUAUAUCAAUCAUCAAGAGUCAAAAACUCGGCUUCAACAAUAUGUCGCGGGGUUAUUUCUAGCUAUUCUGAGUCAUGGAAGAGGGAGGAAUUCAGAAAUCCUGAAUUUACUGUAUUUGCUGUAGAUUUGUUCAUCAGCUGUGGAUGGAUCCUCCUCAACACUCUAGGGACCGUGGCCCUUCAUAGAAUGAUGUCCUUAACCAUCUUCUAGAGUGUGGUCAAGAUUUAUCAGUUGCCAUCGAUCCCUGGAUCAGGAAGAUUCCUUGGAGAAGAGAAUGACUACCCACUCCUGUAUUCUUGCUUGGAGAAUUCCAUGGACAGAGGGACCUUGUGGGCUACAGCCCAUGGGGUUGCAAAGAGUUGCACAUGACUGAACGAGUAACACUAACUAAUAACUGUUGGAGAAAAGGAAUCAUUAUUGUGGGCUAGAUAUUUCCUCACCAGCAGCUCUCCAAAAGCAGGGGUUACUUUUGGUAGUGAUUACUGAAGCCCUGUAGAGGGAGAGUUGGGCAAAAUGAGAUGGAAUGAUAGAUCAAGUAUUAUACACCAGCCCAGAUAUUUUAUUUAACACAGAAACCUCAGUACCAAAGCACUAGGUAGGAAGACUGCAUGGAAGGGAGAGAUUCUGAAGAUUCCAGAAGUGGAU
ensembl:lncRNA